rnacentral:tRNA from 1 species
GCGCCCAUAGCUCAGUUGGAUAGAGCACUUGACUACGAAUCAAGGGGUCGGGGGUUCGAAUCCCUCUGGGCGCACCA